UGUAGCUCAGUGGUAGAACGCUUGCCUAACAAGUAUGACGCCCUGGGUUCAAUCCCUAGCA
rnacentral:tRNA from 1 species